GAUGAACGCUGGCGGCGUGCCUAAUACAUGCAAGUCGAGCGAACGGACGAGAAGCUUGCUUCUCUGAUGUUAGCGGCGGACGGGUGAGUAACACGUGGAUAACCUACCUAUAAGACUGGGAUAACUUCGGGAAACCGGAGCUAAUACCGGAUAAUAUUUUGAACCGCAUGGUUCAAAAGUGAAAGACGGUCUUGCUGUCACUUAUAGAUGGAUCCGCGCUGCAUUAGCUAGUUGGUAAGGUAACGGCUUACCAAGGCAACGAUGCAUAGCCGACCUGAGAGGGUGAUCGGCCACACUGGAACUGAGACACGGUCCAGACUCCUACGGGAGGCAGCAGUAGGGAGUCUUCCGCAAUGGGCGAAAGCCUGACGGAGCAACGCCGCGUGAGUGAUGAAGGUCUUCGGACCGUAAAACUCUGUUAUUAGGGAAGAACAUAUGUGUAAGUAACUGUGCACAUCUUGACGGUACCUAAUCAGAAAGCCACGGCUAACUACGUG
rnacentral:rRNA from 1 species